CACUUUUGUCCAGGUUUGGUAAGCACAGCUGUGGUCAUCAGCCCGGAAUCACUUCAGCUAAGUUCAUCGCUUGAACUUAUUUAACAUCACCCAGAUAGAAGGCAUGUUCAUUUGCAGCCCUGAGGGUGAAUAUGCUGAGUGGCAAGUGAGAAACAUCCACAUCUGGUUCACCCUUAAAUUGAAGGAGUGAUUCCAUCUUGGACUCUAGCCCAUCCUAGACAGCCCUUCCUGAACAUACUAAAUUACCAAAAAUGUCCACUCAGUUUCGAUCCUGGGAACACAGCUACAAACAAAAGACAGAUCAUCAGGGGCCAAGGAUUUUCUGUACUACACCUCCCCCUCCGCUCUGCUCUCCUCUUCAGCAACCCCUUAGAUUCUCCUCGCUUCCUGUUGUCUGAGUUAGCCAACUGGGAUAGAUUGUGAAUCUCCAAACCAGCCAAUGAGAAAGAGGUCAGCUGAUUUUCUCUCAGCAGAGAAAAAAGGAGCUAUCCUUCUUUGUGCUGUGUCUCCUACCUCAAGCUUGUGCCCUUUUGCAAAUGGAAAAAGCU